rnacentral:rRNA from 1 species
AUGUUGUAUGGCGCUGAGUGUUGGCCGACUAAAAGGCGACAUGUUCAACAGUUAGGUGUGGCGGAGAUGCGUAUGUUGAGAUGGAUGUGUGGCCACACGAGGAAGGAUCGAGUCCGGAAUGAUGAUAUACGAGAUAGAGUUGGGGUAGCACCAAUUGAAGAGAAGCUUGUCCAACAUCGUCUGAGAUGGUUUGGGCAUAUUCAGCGCAGGCCUCCAGAAGCUCCAGUGCAUAGCGGAUGGCUAAAGCUCCACUGA